UACGUAGGGGGCAAGCGUUGUCCGGAUUUAUUGGGCGUAAAGAGCGUGUAGGCGGCCAUGUAGGCCGGUGUGAAAACUCGAGGCUUAACCUCGAGAUGUCAUCGGAAACCAUUUGGCUAGAGUCCGGAAGAGGAGAGUGGAAUUCCUGGUGUAGCGGUGAAAUGCGCAGAUAUCAGGAAGAACACCAAUGGCGAAAGCAGCUCUCUGGGACGGUACUGACGCUGAGACGCGAAAGCGUGGGGAGCGAACAGG
rnacentral:rRNA from 1 species